CCAAGUAUUUACUAAAAUUCCUAAAAAACUUGUGUAAAUUUAAAUCACUUUGUGAAACUUAUAAGCAAUAUUACAUUAGAUUUGUAAAAUUACCGAAGGAAGUUGCAAAAUCACAUUCAUAUUAUAAAAUCACAUAAUAUUUGUAAUUAUUUUUACUAUUAUAAUGUAAAAUUAUAAGUUUUUUGUAAAUUUAUACCUUAAUUCUUAAAUUUACCUUGGCUAUGUAAACCGCGGCCAAUGAGAGUGCGUGUUUACGCGUCCCCAAGCGAUUCCGAAAUUUUCAACGUAAAUGACGACUCAGUUAUUAUUUUCGACUUACGACAGGUAAUAAAGAAUUUUGUGCUAGUCCUUCUGUUUAACUUUACUAUUUCUUCGUGCCUAUAAGUAUCAGGUAAGUUAAAUAUUUACAUUAAUACCUGUUAACAAUGAUUACUUGUCAAAUUGCCUGACUGGUCAGGUUGCCAAUUUCCAUAUAAUCUGUGCGUGGUCCUUUAUGAAAAUGUCUUAUUACCUAUUAGUAUGCAUUUAUUAUAGAUUUUCAGCAAGUAAAGGUUAUAUAAACUUGUAAUAGAAAACUUGACAUUACCGAUGAAUCUUCUCUUGAGCUUGGUAUGGAACCAUGCAUUGUAUUAUGUGGUGGCUCUAACAAUACUAUAAAAAUAUACCUAGAACAAGAACCUGUUACGGAAAAAUGUGACUCAUUUGGAGGAGCAUUGCAUUGCUUAAUUGCUCUUUAUUUUGGAAUAUCCCAAAGAAGCAUCCUGUAUUUUGGAGUUCCUUCAAAGAUAUAUUUCAAAAAUACACCCCAAAGCAGGAACCAAAUCGAAAAAACAAAAUCUUUCGAAAAGAAAAGUUAUUUCAUAUUUAACGAAGUUAGCCAGGAUAGAAUAAUAAAUUAUUAUUUUAUGAAAUAAUUAUUUAUAAAUUAUUAUAUAAUUUUUUUUGAGUCCAUAAAUGUUAAAUGAAUUUGUUCCAACCUUAAAGGUUUUUUUUUGUGAGAUUUAGCUUGUAAGUAGGUGCCGAUAUUAACAUAUUUGAUAUUAUAUGGGGCCCCAAAAUGUAUAUUGACUAUGUCAAAGUUCUUGGCUACUUCAAGAGUUUUAAGAGUUUAUGUUUUUGUUUGUAUAUUGAAGAGUUUAAGUUUCAAAUAUACUUGU